UAUUCUUAGCCCUAUUUUGUAUUUUUAUUUAGAGGCAGAGCAUUCUUUCCAGCUCUUCAGCUCCUGAGUGGAAUACAGAAGGCUGAUCCUUCUUUUUACCCCUAUAAUAUUGUAAUAUAGGAUCAGAAGACAGGCAGCCAUGCCUACAAAAUUCACUUGAAAACUUCCUGUUUCAGUGAUUGUUGGGUAACCCAGAUGAUCUUUGAUAUGACAGGACAUAUCAGGAAGGAAACAAAGAGGUUCCGAGGAUCAGAACACAUACAACUUGGGGGACAUUAUACUACCUAUCACAAUGCGAGUCCAUGGAUGAGGAGAAGAGACAAAUUUCAACAGGAGAGUUGAGGAAAUAAGUGAGCCACAGGAAGCUCCAGAAUCCAGAGAAGAGUGACAACAUUCGGAGCUAGUGAGACAAAUAGUCUGCUGAUUACACACAGUUCCUUUAACAUCGGCAGUGACUUCGUUUCCCACUCCAGGAAACAUACCAGAAUGCCAGUGAGCAAGAAGGCUAACCUCAUGUCCUCUAACUAUAAAGAAAAGUAAAAUGAUUUGAAACCUUCAAAACUUGGAACAUUGCUAACAAACCAGUGUCAGGAUAUCAUGGUUCAGAGCUGUUGCUCCAGUGGAACACUUUUAAUAAAGAAAAGAAGUGAAAAACAGUAUCUGUACACUUCCACGGAAUUGUCCAGAGGCUGACUCUUGCCUGACUCUUGCCAAAGCUGAAAAAUCCCCUGGAAAUCUUCAGCUUUGCACUUAAUUACCACCUCCUUUGGCUGUUUCUCUUUUGCUGCUUUUCUCUUUCCCCUGUGAUUCCUUUCUUGUUGCCAAACACACUUUCCCUUCCAGACACCAUCUGCUUUCAGAACAUAUUUGCAUUUUCUUUUUCCUUCCCAAAGUGGCCCUUCUUUGGGGGCUAUGUUUCCCCUCACCAGACUGCUGCUAAGUUACUCCUUGGAUUGGUAGGAAGGCAGCCAUGGCUUGCAGAAUCAAAAUAGAGCUGGAACUCAACAGAGACAUUUUUCUGAACUUUGAUGUAUCCUUUGUGUUCUGGUGCACCUGCUCCCUUAAGAACCUCGGAGCCUAGGGAUUGGUGUGUAGCUGGCCUUUAAAAUAUUUUUUGUUUGUUAUUAAACUUCAGAGAAUUCCA
rnacentral:lncRNA from 1 species